AUUGAACGCUGGCGGCAGGCUUAACACAUGCAAGUCGAACGAGUGGCGGACGGGUGAGUAAUGCUUGGGAAUCUAGCUUAUGGAGGGGGAUAACUACGGGAAACUGUAGCUAAUACCGCGUACCAUAGGAUGAGCCCAAGUGGGAUUAGGUAGUUGGUGAGGUAAAGGCUCACCAAGCCGACGAUCCCUAGCUGGUCGGAGAGGAUGACCGGCCACACUGGGACUGAGACCGCGCCCAGACUCCUACGGUAGGCAGCAGUGGGGAAUAUUGCGCAAUGGGGGCAACCGUACGGAGCCAUGCCGCGGGAAUGAAGAAGGCCUUCGGGUUGUAAAGUUCUUUCGGUAGCGAGGCGUUAACUACAGAAGAAACACCGGCUAACCCCGUGCCAGCCGCCGCGGUAAUAC
rnacentral:rRNA from 1 species